UGAGGAAGCCANCCAUUCGUGCAGUGU
rnacentral:piRNA from 1 species